GUGGUCCUUGGACAACGUGGAUCCGUGUUUCCAGGGUAACAAUUUGGCGUAGUAGGCGUGGGGGGUUUGGGGCAACGAGGAUCAGUUGAUCCGGGGUAGCAGUUUGGUGGAGCAGGAGUUGUGGGUCUUGGGCAACGUGGAUCCGUGGAUCCAGGGUAACAAUUGGGACGGGCAGUGGUUGUAGGCACAGGGGUGGUCCUUGGACAACGUGGAUCCGUGUUUCCAGGGUAACAGUUUGGGGGUGCAGGUGUAGAUGGUCUUGGGCAACGUGGAUCUGUGGAUCCAGGGUAGCAAUUAGGACGAGCAGUGGUUGUAGGUGCAGGGGUGGU